AUGACUGAGAUCUGUCAAAAGUUCUGUGAUGUUUCAUUCUGCACAGAAAAACAAAAAUUAACUGAUGUUAAUUUUCUGUGUUUGUUUUGUUUUGUUUUUUUUAAUAGGGAUCUUAUCCCUCAGGAAGCAGGCAAUAUGGUGGGCAGGGCUCGUAUCCUUCUGGAGGCAAGCAAUAUGGUAAACCAGGUUCCUCUUCCUCAGGAGGCAGUCAACAAGGAAAGCCAGGUGGCUCUAGCUCAGGAAGCACUUACUCUGGAAAACCGCACUCGCCUUACUCAGGCGGCAGUCAAGUGGUAAGAACUUUUCCUCUUUGUAGUUUCUACUGGUUUCUUCCUUCUAAAUGUCACAGAAAACUGAAAUCUGUCAAAUUUCCUACAUCUGAAUAAAUGUUUGAGAACACAUGUGCA
rnacentral:lncRNA from 1 species